rnacentral:rRNA from 1 species
GGAAUAUUGGGCAAUGGGCGAAAGCCUGACCCAGCCACGCCGCGUGCGGGAAGAAGGCCCACAGGGUUGUAAACCGCUUUUCUCCGGGAAUAAGGACCUGGCCUCCAGGUUUUGCAGGUACCGGAAGAAUAAGCACCGGCUAACUACGUGCCAGCAGCCGCGGUAAUACGUAGGGUGCAAGCGUUAAUCGGAAUUACUGGGCGUAAAGCGUGCGCAGGCGGCUAUGCAAGACAGGUGUGAAAUCCCCGGGCUUAACCUGGGAACUGCACUUGUGACUGCAUGGCUAGAGUGCGUCAGAGGGAGGUGGAAUUCCGCGUGUAGCAGUGAAAUGCGUAGAGAUGCGGAGGAACACCGAUGGCGAAGGCAGCCUCCUGGGAUGACACUGACGCUCAUGCACGAAAGCGUGGGGAGCAAA